rnacentral:rRNA from 1 species
GAUGAACGCUGGCGGCGUGCCUAAUACAUGCAAGUCGAGCGAACGGACGAGAAGCUUGCUUCUCUGAUGUUAGCGGCGGACGGGUGAGUAACACGUGGAUAACCUACCUAUAAGACUGGGAUAACUUCGGGAAACCGGCGCUAAUACCGGAUAAUAUUUUGAACCGCAUGGUUCAAAAGUGAAAGACGGUCUUGCUGUCACUUAUAGAUGGAUCCGCGCUGCAUUAGCUAGUUGGUAAGGUAACGGCUUACCAAGGCAACGAUGCAUAGCCGACCUGAGAGGGUGAUCGGCCACACUGGAACUGAGACACGGUCCAGACUCCUACGGGAGGCAGCAGUAGGGAAUCUUCCGCAAUGGGCGAAAGACUGACGGAGCAACGCCGCGUGAGUGAUGAAGGUCUUCGGAUCGUAAAACUCUGUUAUUAGGGAAGAACAUAUGUGUAAGUAACUGUGCACAUCUUGACGGUACCUAAUCAGAAAGCUACGGCUAACUACGUG